AUUUGUUUAAAUAAGGCGGAUAUCGCUUGGGAAAAAAAGAUGCUGCAGUUGAAUCUAACGUAACGUGAAAUAAUGUAUUUCAGAUAUGAACGGUUAUCAUAUACAGACAUAUUUAGAUUGCUGACCACACACAAGCAGGCAAUAAUGAGGACUAGGUAUGCAGUCCACUAAAGCCGGAGGAUUGUCCAUGCACUUUCGAUGGAGUGCCCUAAAGUCUGUUCCCCAUAACAACCUGCCUCGCUCCCGGUGUAAACAUGCCUGCUGUCUUCACAACGACAAUAUCUACGUGGUAGGAGGGAAAGAUGGAAAUGUCGCACUUAAGGAAAUAUGGAAAUUUCAUAUUGGGAGUCACAAGUGGGAGAAGCUCACCUACCGUGGAGACAGUCUGCCUAUCCUCGAGGGCCACACUCUGGUCGCACACAAAG